rnacentral:rRNA from 1 species
UGGGGAAUAUUGCACAAUGGGCGCAAGCCUGAUGCAGCGAUGCCGCGUGAGGGAAGAAGGUUUUAGGAUUGUAAACCUCUGUCUUAAGGGACGAUAAUGACGGUACCUUAGGAGGAAGCUCCGGCUAACUACGUGCCAGCAGCCGCGGUAAUACGUAGGGAGCGAGCGUUGUCCGGAAUUACUGGGUGUAAAGGGAGUGUAGGCGGGACUGCAAGUCAGGUGUGAAAACUAUGGGCUUAACCCAUAGACUGCACUUGAAACUGUAGUUCUUGAGUGAAGUAGAGGUAAGCGGAAUUCCUAGUGUAGCGGUGAAAUGCGUAGAUAUUAGGAGGAACAUCAGUGGCGAAGGCGGCUUACUGGGCUUUAACUGACGCUGAGGCUCGAAAGCGUGGGGAGCAAACA